UUCCGGUUGAUCCUGCCGGAGGCUACUGCUAUUGGAAUUCGAUUAAGCCAUGCGAGUUUAAAGGACUUCGGUCCUUGGCAGACGGCUCAGUAACACGUGGAGAACCUGCCCUCAGGAGGGGGAUAACCCCGGGAAACUGGGAAUAAUACCCCAUAGGUCUAGAAUGCUGGAAUGCUUCUAGGCUCAAAGCCCCGGCGCCUGAGGAUGGCUCUGCGGCUUAUCAGGUUGUAGUGAGAGUAACGUCCUCACUAGCCUAUGACGGGUACGGGCCCUGAGAGGGGAUGCCCGGAGAUGGACUCUGAGACACGAGUCCAGGCCCUACGGGGCGCAGCAGGCGCGAAAACUCCGCAAUGCUCGAAAGAGUGACGGGGGGAUUCCAAGUGCCUACGCUUAGCGUAGGCUGUUCAGAUGCCUAAAAAGCAUCUGGAGUAAGGGCUGGGUAAGACGGGUGCCAUCUGUGGCAGCAGCCGAAGAUUUGGCUUGUUGCUGCAAGGCAUAAGCCGCCGCGGUAAUACCCGCAGCCCGAGUGGUAGUCGAUUUUAUUGGGCCUAAAGCGUCCGUAUCCGGUCUGAUAAAUGCCUGGGUAAAUCGUCUGGCUUAACCAGACGAAUUCCGGGUAGACUGUCAGACUUGGGACCGGUUGAGGAAGAGGGUACUUUAGGGGUAGGAGUGAAAUCCUGUAAUCCUUGAAGGACCACCAGUGGCGAAGGCGCUCUUCUAGGAC
rnacentral:rRNA from 1 species